CUACUUGGAGCCUGGAUAACGUUGGAAAAAGUGAUUUAUCAGGGCAAAUUCUGCCCCGUUUCAUCCAGUAUGAAGGGUGUUUGGACAAAGCACAAUUUCCCAGCAUCCAUCACUGGAAAAGGAUCAGCACUGGACCACCCUCGAUCAGGCCUGAUUUGAAUGGUGGACCCACUCCUAGCGUAGCACUGAUAUGACAGUGGCAGAGAUAAGGAUUAUGUCAACAUGAAGCUGGAAUGCCAGACGGUCACAGGAAGCUGAUAAGCACUCAGAGGUCAAUUUGAUCCUAAUAGGAAACUCCUGUGAGCCCAGCCCGUCCACGUGAGGGGGGAAGACGUCCAUCAAAGACGUCCAUCCUGUAGAGGGAAUGCAUUGACGUCACAUUCCCCUGAACCUACCCCUUUAGUUGGACUGAGUAGCAAAACCUUCUAUAUGACAUUGGCUGUGUUUCUUAGAGGAAACAGAAAAAAACAGCAUCAAAAUGAUCAAUUAUAAGCUCAAAUUAGAAGCAGUUGGACUCAACAGUGAUCCAUCAAAUAUGAGAAAAAAGAACCAACAGCCUAAAGGGCUUCAAAACAAUACUGUGAAAAAGUAUUUCCCCCCUAAAUUCCUAUUGUUUUUGUCAUAUUUAAAAUUUUACAUUAAAAAAUAUAUA